GGGACAAGCCGGCCGUGUUCCAGGUGUCAACCUGGGUACGGAAGAACCAUUUUUUUAAGGGGUGAAUCCAGUUUUGGCUGUUCCAGAGCCAAAAAAACGGGUAGGGUCUUCUUUUGCAGAACCCGCCAGCCAACUCCAGGAGGCAUAAAAGAAAGGGGAA
rnacentral:sRNA from 1 species